rnacentral:rRNA from 1 species
CCUACGGUGGCUGUAGUGGGGAAUAUUGGACAAUGGGCGAAAGCCUGAUCCAGCCAUGCCGCGUGUGUGAAGAAGGCCUUCGGGUUGUAAAGCACUUUCAGUGGGGAAGAAAGCCUUGGGGCUAAUACCCUCGAGGAAGGACAUCACCCACAGAAGAAGCACCGGCUAACUCCGUGCCAGCAGCCGCGGUAAUACGGAGGGUGCGAGCGUUAAUCGGAAUUACUGGGCGUAAAGCGCGCGUAGGCGGUCUGAUAAGCCGGUUGUGAAAGCCCCGGGCUCAACCUGGGAACGGCAUCCGGAACUGUCAGGCUAGAGUGCAGGAGAGGAAGGUAGAAUUCCCGGUGUAGCGGUGAAAUGCGUAGAGAUCGGGAGGAAUACCAGUGGCGAAGGCGGCCUUCUGGACUGACACUGACGCUGAGGUGCGAAAGCGUGGGUAGCAAACAGGAUUAGAUACCCCGGUAGUC